rnacentral:ncRNA from 1 species
GAAAGCCGGGUGAGAUCGAAAGACUCAUGCCCGGUUUGGAGAGGGGCGUCCGGAAAAGUGCUUUUCAAACAGUAACUCGCUGGCGCUCUACUCUAC